UUUUUUAUAUGGUUUUAACGAGUUUGAGUUAAGAGUAGUAAAUAACUUGCUCCCAGGAAAAGAACCGUGUGAGGAGGCCCCGGGGCGUUACAGCCUUUACUUUGAAGGGGACAAAUCCUUCUCACUUUAACAAAUUGGUGUUUCCGCCCGUGACCUGGAAGCAGGACAACAGAGCCACCGACGGAAAAAGCUCCACAGCCUGCGGCCGAAACAACUGAUAAGUUGUUGACGGACGCGCUUCCUUAGCAGAAAAGCGGCUCACUGUAGCUUAUGGGUAAAAAGUUUAAAGCCCAGAGGGAUCUCACGUAAGACGUCGAGGUCUAAAUUUAUACACUGUGUGAACGGAAGGUGUGAAAGAUGGAUGCAUGUGGACUAGAAAUUGAAUCCAGAAACACCUCAUUAAAAGCGAGUCUGGAUAAAGGGAGAAAUAUGAUCAUGGCGAGUUAUCCAUUGAAGGAUGCAGAACACCAGAUUAGAAAAUUUGAUGAAUGGGUUGAAAAAAUGAGAGAAGAUGGAGUGUUUGGGGAAUUAGAGGGGCCCCCUCCAAACACUUCACAACGUGGUUUUUAUUUGGAUACACUAAAAAAUAGAUUGUCACAAGCUCGUGAAAAAAAAUGGCUGGUGUUGGUGUGUUCGGACGAGACAAACACCAGAAGGAAGAAACAAAACUUUUGGAUUUGAUUAGACAAACCAAGUUCAAUUUUAGUAACUAUUUUUCUGACAAGGACCCUGAACAGGAACAGGUGGAGCAAAACGGGGCUCAGGGAGGUGAGCAGGCACUCGACACUUCAGAGGAUGCCUGUUAUGGAGUUGCGUGAAGGUCAGAUAAAUUGUGAAAUAAGGCCUACAGAGGAAGAAUUGGGACAAGAGGUACGAAAGAAGUUUCAGAUGCAAGAUUUAAUAGAGGAGGCGGUAAAUAAAGCAUUUCAGCGAAUGUCAACAAUUGAUAGCAUGGGCACAGAACAUGAAGGGCACAGUCUAGGGGCAGCUGACAGUCUAAGAGGGAGAGAUGAGCAGAGGAAGCCACAUACGGAUAGCAAUGAGGAAGAUAUGAUACAAAUGGAAAGGAAAGCUUAAAAUAUAAGAGGUUGAUAUAUUUACAAUUUACGAUGUCUUGAAAUGAACAUUUUAAAGGUAAGAAGAUCAAUUAAUACAUUUUCAGUGCUGUAAACCCCCGCCCAACAUUGAGCUCCAGAAGGUGGAUCACACAGAGCAGCCCUUCACUUAGAGGCAGGAGAGAAAAGGAAAAGAAGACACAGAGAGACUGAGUGCACACAGGGCCGAUCACAGCAGAAGCAGGGCCCAGGAGUCUAGAAGCAGUUUUUACCUUAAAGACAUCUACCAAUUACUACACUAGAAUGGUAUUGUAAUCUACAUUUAGAGUGACUGAUUCAGGAGCUUAUAUUUGAAAAUGUUAGACCACACAAGCUAAGUUUGUCAAACUGUAGCAAA